rnacentral:tRNA from 1 species
GGGACACUAGCUCAGUCGGUAGAGCACCUGACUUUUAAUCAGGUUGUCGGGGGUUCGAAUCCCCCGUGUCUCA